UACGAAGGGGGCUAGCGUUGGUCGGAAUCACUGGGCGUAAAGCGCACGUAGGCGGACUCUUAAGUCGGUGGUGAAAUCCUGGAGCUCAACUCCAGAACUGCCUUUGAUACUGGCAACCUAGAGGCUGGAAGAGGUUAGUGGAAUUCCCAGUGUAGAGGUGAAAUUCGUAGAUAUUGGGAAGAACACCAGUGGCGAAGGCGGCUAACUGGUCCAGAUCUGACGCUGAGGUGCGAAAGCGUGGGGAGCAAACAGG
rnacentral:rRNA from 1 species